UGGAUCCAGACUUUGAUUAUGGCUCAGGAUGAACGCUGGCGGCAUGCCUAAUACAUGCAAGUCGAACGGAGUUGAUUAACCAGCUUGCUGGAUAGUGAACUGAGUGGCGAACGGGUGAGUAACACGUAGGGAACCUGCCCAUAUACCCGGGAUAACAAGCGGAAACGGUUGCUAAAACCGGAUGGGUAAAAAGGAGGCAUCUUCUUUUUAUGAAAGCACCUUCGGGUGUGGAUAUGGAUGGACCUGCGGCGUAUUAGCCAGUUGGCGGGGUAACGGCCCACCAAAGCGAUGAUACGUAGCCGGCCUGAGAGGGUAAACGGCCACAUUGGGACUGAGACACGGCCCAAACUCCUACGGGAGGCAGCAGUAGGGAAUUUUCGUCAAUGGGGGGAACCCUGAACGAGCAAUGCCGCGUGAGUGAAGAAGGUUUUCGGAUCGUAAAGCUCUGUUGUAAGAGAAAAAGGGUGCUUAGAGGAAAUGGUAAGCACUUGAUGGUAUCUUACGAGGAAGCCACGGCUAACUACGUGCCAGCAGCCGCGGUAAUACGUAGGUGGCGAGCGUUAUCCGGAAUGAUUGGGCGUAAAGGGUGCGCAGGCGGUUGUAUCAGUCUGAAGUAAAAGGCAUCGGCUUAACCGGUGUAAGCUUUGGAAACUGUAUAACUAGAGUGCAGGAGAGGGCAGUGGAAUUCCAUGUGUAGCGGUAAAAUGCGUAGAUAUAUGGAGGAACACCAGUGGCGAAGGCGGCUGCCUGGCCUGUAACUGACGCUGAGGCACGAAAGCGUGGGGAGCAAAUAGGAUUAGAUACCCUAGUAGUCCACGCUGUAAACGAUGAGAACUAAGUGUUGGAGAGAAUUCAGUGCUGCAGUUAACGCAAUAAGUUCUCCGCCUGGGGAGUAUGCACGCAAGUGUGCAACUCAAAUGAAUUGACGGA
rnacentral:rRNA from 1 species